ACGCGCGGUGGAGGGAUGACGACUUCGAGUGUAACUCUUUCAGCAGGGAAGAAGCACAGUGACGUACCUGCAGAAGAAGCGCGGCUAACUACGUGCCAGCAGCGCGGUAAUACGUAGGGCGCAAGCGUUGUCCGGAAAUUAUUGGGCGUAAAGAGCUCGUAGGCGGUUUGUCGCGUCUGCUGUGAAAGCCCGGGGCUUAACCCCGGGUGUGCAGUGGGUACGGGCAGACUAGAGUGCAGUAGGGGAGACUGGAAUUCCUGGUGUAGCGGUGGAAUGCGCAGAUAUCAGGAGGAACACCGAUGGCGAAGGCAGGUCUCUGGGCUGUUACUGACGCUGAGGAGCGAAAGCAUGGGGAGCGAACAGGAUUAGAUACCCUGGUAGUCCAUGCCGUAAACGUUGGGCACUAGGUGUGGGGGACAUUCCACGUUUUCCGCGCCGUAGCUAACGCAUUAAGUGCCCCGCCUGGGGAGUACGGCCGCAAGGCUAAAACUCAAAGGAAUUGACGGGGGCCCGCACAAGCGGCGGAGCAUGCGGAUUAAUUCGAUGCAACGCGAAGAACCUUACCAAGGCUUGACAUAUACCGGAUCGUUCCAGAGAUGGUUCUUCCCCUUUGGGGUCGGUAUACAGGUGGUGCAUGGUUGUCGUCAGCUCGUGUCGUGAGAUGUUGGGUUAAGUCCCGCAACGAGCGCAACCCUCGUUCCAUGUUGCCAGCACGUGAUGGUGGGGACUCAUGGGAGACUGCCGGGGUCAACUCGGAGGAAGGUGGGGAUGACGUCAAAUCAUCAUGCCCCUUAUGUCUUGGGCUUCACGCAUGCUACAAUGGCCGGUACAAAGGGUUGCGAUACUGUGAGGUGGAGCUAAUCCCAAAAAGCCGGUCUCAGUUCGGAUUGAGGUCUGCAACUCGACCUCAUGAAGUCGGAGUCGCUAGUAAUCGCAGAUCAGCAACGCUGCGGUGAAUACGUUCCCGGGCCUUGUACACACCGCCCGUCAAGUCACGAAAGUCGGUAACACCCGAAGCCGGUGGCCCAACCCUUGUGGAGGGAGCCGUCGAAGGGG
rnacentral:rRNA from 1 species